rnacentral:lncRNA from 1 species
UUCACUUACCCGACAACAACGAGAUAUUAAGUUGCUAUUUGCUCGGAGGUGUCUCUAGCUAUUCCUACUAUCCGGUCGCUUGUUAUUUCCUCCAACGCGCCACUAUAGUGCACUACCUUUACUUUGACACUUCCUAGCAACAAUCUAAACUCAACAUAUUUAAUUAUAUAGGCAUAUGGCAGCACUUAAAUCAAUUAGUCCUUAAUCUAAUUCACAUUUUUCAUCCUCAUCAUUCACUUAUUAUUACUAUUACCAUUAUUAUUUUAAAACUAACUAAAUCUAUUAUUGAUUUUCUUACUAUUGAUAUUUACCUUCAUAUAUUGUACUUACACUAAUUUUCAUAUUUUAAAUAUUAACUAAUAAUUCUAUAACAUUUAUACCAAAUAAUUCAACUUAUUCUAUAUCAUUCUAUCACAUAUUCAAACCAAUGAAUUGAACUAAACCCAAACAACAUACUUCAUAAUGGAUCCAUAAAAAAAAUGCUUGAUUUUAAAUUUUACCUCACUUGGGCUCAGAUGCUAAGCCAAGUAAAAAAUUGCAGCCCACCGGACCUUCCUUGCCAAAUGUAUUGUUGGAGGCCCAAAGGAAUAAUUAUUAUUUGUUUAUUUAUUUAUUAUUUUUUUCCUUUCUUACACUCACAAGUCGGCCACAAUUUCCUCCUCUCUUUCUCUCACCGUCGGUAGAAAUUUUUUGCUCCUUUCAACCACAAAAAUCAGCAGCCAAAGCUGGUCAUCUCAGCCUCAAAAAUCAGCAGCCGAAGCUGCUUAUUUCACCCUCAAAACCAGCAACCAAAACCUCAAAAAUCAGUAGCCAAAGCUGCUCAUUUCAGCCUUCAAAAUUAGCAGCCAAAGCUACUCAUCUCACCCUCAAUACUGACAGCUAAAGCCUUCAUUUACUCCCUCACAAACCCAAUAGCACUAGCCCUUGUUUUCC